GGAGGCAACUGCUGUGGUUGCAAACAGGCUUUGGGUGGUUUGGAAAUAAAUGCAGAGUUUAAGCGCAUUACCACCAUGCCACUGCAGUCCAGAUUACUCUCGCAGAUAGAUGUGCUAUCUGACAAACUAAUAAAGGUCUUCAAAAGGCGAGGAGGACAAAUAGGAAGAAGACUUCAGAACAUUCUGGAGCCCACGGCCCAGGUAAGAAAAAAAUUAAUUUGUGUAUACACUUUAGGGAAAAUAAUAAUUUUAACAAAAUGCUGCUUGUCACUCUAUGCCAGGAGUAUGUCGAAAAUCACCUGGGAUUUUCACAAUUUACCAUGGGUGCGUUUUUUUUCUUUUUCUUUUACCUGCAUUUUUCUAUGUGUGGAGUUGAUAGUUGAACACCUCUCUGUGCUCUGACCGUAUUCUGCUUCUUUGCAUGGAGAUUUCACUUCAUUACCUUUUUAAGCAUUCUGAGGACUCAAAUCACAUGCUGUAAUGAAUCCAUUUUUGUUCACCUAAUGUGUUAAUGUUAACAUUUUUUGGAAUAGUGACACAGAUUAAAAUAAG
ensembl:lncRNA